ensembl:lncRNA
UUCAAUUAAAAAUCAAUAUUCAUAACCUUGUCAACAUCUUGACUAUAUUUCCUAUUCAUUUUGCAACUCAUUUCAUGUAUGUUUUCAUGGAAAACAAGGACAUUUCUAAGUGACCCCAAACCUCUGAACGGUAGUGUACACAUAGUGUUUAAAAAGAUGCAAUCUUACUUUGUGGUCAGGAUUAUAAGGAGCAAUUUAAGUGGAUGAUGAGUUUAGAAAGAUAGUCAUUGUAUUUUACCCACCAUAAUGUGACCAUCAGAAAUGCAUAUCACAUCUCUCACAUAUUCAUCUAUUUGUUGUUAAACAGUUCUUGCAGUUUUACUCCACCACAGGAUCAGAGACGGUCCCCUGAAGAGAGGAGAAAGAGAGAGAAGACAUUCCUACUGAAUCUGUGUCUUCAAGCAGCUCUCCAUGAGAGAGGAACCAUACAAACAAUUGUAGAGAAAGUGUUGUCACUGUCUAAAGUAUAUCACAAUCAGAAUUGGGAUUUCCUGCUGGAUCUGAGCUCAUAUGUGGUGGACUAUGAGACUCAAACAGGCAGGAGUGUCCUUCCAGCAUUACGGCCAGUUUACCAGACAGCUCCUGCAGUCUGGUCCAUAGACCUCUCAGAGAGAAAGGCCUCCCUCCUCCUAGAAGUGCUGAAACUCCAACCAGAGAAGAAACCAGUAGAGCUGAAGGGCUGGUCAGAUGAAGAGAGUGAACUAAGGAGUUUCCUUCAGUGUCUGCCCUACAUCUCACAGCUGAGAUUUCUUCCACUGAUGGACAAUAUAGAGAGGAGAAAGAGAGAGAAGACAUUCCUACUGAAUCUGUGUCUUCAAGCAAUUCUCCAUGCUAGAGGAUCCAUACACACAAUUAUAGAUAAAGUGUUGUCACUGUCUGAAGUAUAUCACUAUCAGAAAUGGGAUUUCCUGCUGGAUCUGUACUCACAUGUGAAGGACUAUGAGACUCAAACAGGCAGGAGUGUACUUCCAGCAUUACAGCCAGUUUACCAGUCAGCUCCUGCAGUCUGGUCCAUAGACCUCUCAGAGAGAAAGGCCUCCCUCCUCCUAGAAAUGCUUAAAAUCCAACCAGAGAAGAAACCAGUAGUCCUGAAGGGCUGGUCAGAUGAAGAGAGUGAAGUGAGGAGUUUCCUUCAGUGUCUGCCCUACAUCUCACAGCUGAGUUUCUAUCCAUGGUGGCCUGAUCCCUCAAAGCAGAUCAAGUUCCUGGUGGAUCUCCUGUGUCAGGCAGCAGAGUGGGAGGAGCAGACAGGAGAGAAGACACUGAAGCUGGUAUCAUCAGUGUGUACUUACAGCACUUUCCCCUUCUGUGAAGAUGUUGUUGAUGAUGGUGAUGUGAUUAAGGAAAAUCAGUGUCAUUUCCUGCUGGAUCUGUACUCACAUGUGAAGGACUAUGAGACUCAAACAGGCAGGAGUGUCCUUCCAGCAUUACAGCCAGUUUACCAGUCAGCUCCUGCAGUCUGGUCCAUCGACCUCUCAGAGAGAAAGGCCUCCCUCCUCCUAGAAGUGCUGAAACUCCAACCAGAGAAGAAACCAGUAGAGCUGAAGGGCUGGUCAGAUGAAGAGAGUGAAGUGAGGGGUUUCCUUAAGUGUCUGCCCUACAUCUCACAGCUGAGAUUUCUUCCACUGAUGGACAAUAUAGAGAGGAGAAAGAGAGAGAAGACAUUCCUACUGAAUCUGUGUCUUCAAGCAGCUCUCCAUGAGAGAGGAACCAUACAAACAACUGUAGAGAAAGUGAUGUCACUGUCUAAAGUAUGUCACAAUCAGAAAUGUGAUUUCCUGCUGGAUCUGAGCUCACAUGUAAAGGACUAUGAGACUCAAACAGGCAGGAGUGUCCUUUCAGCAUUACAGCCAGUUUACCAGUCAGCUCCUGCAGUCUGGUCCAUAGACCUCUCAAAGAGAAAGGCCUCCCUCUUCCUAGAAGUGCUGAAACUCCAACCAGAGAAGAGACCAGUAGAGCUGAAGGGCUGGUCAGAUGAAGAGAGUGAAGUGAGGAGUUUCCUUCAGUGUCUGCCCCACAUCUCACAGCUGAGUUUUUCUCCACCAUAUGAUCAGAGAAGAUCCCUUGAAGAGAGGAGAAAGAGAGAGAAGACAUUCCUACUGAAUCUGUGUCUUCAAGCAGCUCUUCAUGAGAGAGGAACCAUACAAACAACUGUAGAGAAAGUGCCACUGUCUGAAAUAUAUCACAAUCAGAAAUGUGAUUUCCUGCUGGAUCUGUACUCGUAUGUGAAGGACUAUGAGACUCAAACAGGCAGGAGUGUCCUUCCAGCAUUACAGCCAGUUUACCUGUCAGCCAGUCCUGCAGUCUGGUCCAUAGACCUCUCAGAGAGAAAGGCCUCCCUCCUCCUAGAAGUGCUGAAACUCAAACCAGAGAAGGAACCAGUAGAGGUGUGUGGCUGGUCAGGUGAAGAGAGUGAAGUGAGGAGUUUCCUUCAGUGUCUGCCCAACAUCUCACAGCUGAGUUUCUAUCCAUGGUGGCCUGUUCCCUCAAAGCAGAUCAAGUUCCUGGUGGAUCUCCUGUCUCAAGCAGCAGAGAGGGAGGAGCAGACAGGAGAGAAGACACUGAUGCUGGUGUCAUCAGUGUGUACUUACAGCGCUUUCCCCUUCUGUGACUGGCAUGAUGAGAAUAAGGAAGAUCAAUGUGAUUUCCUGCUGGAUCUGUUCUCACAUAUGAAGGAAUAUCAGACUCAAACAGACAGGAACGUCCUUCUAGCAUUACAGCCAGUUUACCAGUCGGCUCCUGCAGUCUGGUACAUAGACCUCUCAGCGAGAAAGGCCUCCCUCUUCCUAGAAGUGCUGAAACUCCAACCAGAGAAGAAACCAGUAGAGCUGAAGGGCUGUUCAGAUGAAGAGAGUGAAGUGAGGAGUUUCCUUCAGUGUCUGUCCUACAUCUCACAGCUGAGUUUCCCUCCAUGGUGGUCUGAUCCCUCAAAGCAGAUCAAGUUCCUGGUGGAUCUCCUGUCUCAAGCAGCAGAGUGGGAGGAGCAGACAGGAGAGAAGACACUGAAGCUGGUAUCAUCAGUGUGUACUUACAGCACCUUUCCUUUUCCCAAUGGAUACAUUUCUAAACAGAGUGAUUUCCUGCUAGAUCUGUACUCACAUGUGAAGGACUAUGAGACUCAAACAGGCAGGAGUUUCCUUCCAGCAUUACAGCCAGUUUAUCAGUCAGCUCCUGCAGUCUGGUCCAUAGGGCUCUCAGAGAGAAAGACCUCCCACCUCCUAGAAGUGCUGAAGCUCCAACCAGAGAAGAAACCAGUAGAGCUGAAGGGCUGGUCAGAUGAAGAGCGUGAAGUGAGGAGUUUCCUUCAGUGUCUGUCCUACAUCUCACAGCUGAGUUUUACUCCUCCAUGGGAUCAGAGAAGAUGCCCUGAAGAGAGGACACAGAGAGAGAAGACAUUCCUACUGAAUCUGUGUCUUCAAGCAGCUCUCCAUGAGAGAGGAACCAUACAAACAACUGUAGAGAAAGUGUUGUCACUGUCUGAAGUAUAUCACAAUCAGAAAUGUGAUUUCCUGCUGGAUCUGUGCUCACAUGUGAAUGACUACGAGACUCAAACAGGCAGGAGUGUUCUUCCAGCAUUACAGCCAGUUUACCAGUCAGCCAGUCCUGCAGUCUGGUCCAUAGACCUCUCAGAGAGAAAGGCCUCCCUCUUCCGAGAAGUGCUGAAACUCCAACCAGAGAAGAAACCAGUAGAGCUGAAGGGCUGGUCAGAUGAAGAGAGUGAAGUGAGGAGUUUCCUUCAGUGUCUGCCCUACAUCUCACAGCUGAGGCUGAAUGUGGGUAUGGCAGUGAAACUGUCCAGACUGGUUAGGAGGACAGAGAGAGAAGCUACUCCACUGACUGUCCCAGAACUCUCCCUGGUCCUAAAGAGCAGCCAGCCACCAGAGAGAGUGUUAUCCAGGGCUCUGAGUAGUGUGGCGUCCCUGCUGAGACUCUGGAGGUUUCAGUGUCUGGACCUGACUGACUUCCUGAUCCAGGGUCACUCUCUCAUCACACUGCUGUGUCACCAGGGACCUCUCUCUCUCAGACUGAACUCAGACACUCUGCAGCAGCUGACUGUAGUUGUGUAUGAAGCUCAGGACAAGGACUUGACUCAGUGGUUCCUGGAGAAGGUUGGUGGAGACCUGACCUCCUGCAGGCUGGACUGGGAAGUGCUUCUCUCUCUGCUGCAACAUUCAACCCACAACAUCACUGUGGACCUCAGGAAGAACAGGCUUCUAGAGAAGAACAUCUCAGAUCUUCUCCCCUUUCUGGGAAGGGUUACCCUCAAGAGGUCCAGUUCCAGCUUUGUAAAGUCCUCCAUCAGACAGAUCUAUGACAGUAGAGACAGUGACUGUGUGUCCAGUUUGUUGAGGUCUUCAGAACAUUGGAUCAACCUGAACAGCAGAGAGCUGGACAGAGUGGACUGUUCUGCUCUGUGUUUUACCCUGCAGCACAGCCACCAAGUCAAAGUCAACCUGCUGUGGACCUCCAUACCACCGGGGGAGAUAGAGAGCAUCCUGCCUCUUCUGGACAGAGUCUCCCAACUCAGUGUUGACAGGAAGUUACUGCUGAGUUUCCUCCAGUGCUGUGCUGCCUCUCAGAUCCAGCAGGGGGCACCACCACCACCAACAGCAGUAUGGCUGCUCAGGUCUCUGCACUACAGGCUGGACUUCUCCUGCUCCUCCUCUGUGGACCUGUCAGCUCAGGACCAGGAGAAGGCUCUGUGUCUGACCACUGACCACUGCAGGGCCAUCAACUCUGUUCUGAAGCAGAACCAACACAGCACUCAGCUGGUCCAGAACCAGGUCCAGCUCAUCCUAAGAGACUGUGAGGUGGAGGACAGAGCACUGAGGGAGCUGCUUCCCAUCCUGCAUAUUGUCAAGCUGAGCCCCAGCAAAGCUCUGCUACUUCAGCUGCUGGACCUUGUGUGUGAGGGGAUUGAAGAGGGGCUGCUGAGGCACGCAGAGUCCCUGUGCAGAGCCCUGGAUGGGGAACUGGACCUCAGUGAGACCAGGCUGGACCAGAAGGCCUGUGGAUCUCUGGCCCUGGUUCUGGAACACUCAGAGGGUCUGUCAGAACUGGACCUCAGCCACUGUCAACUCACAGACCACCACCUACAGCCCCUGAUCACACACCUGCAUAAAGUACAAGUCCUGGACCUGAGCCACAAUGACAUCACUGAUGCUCUGACUGACAGAAUACUCCAACUGGUCUCUACCAACACUUCAAUGCACACCGUACGGUAAGGGUGUGUGUGACGGUGAGCAGAGCAUGUGUGUGUGAGAUCAUAUGGGUGUGUCUGUUGCUGGGGGCAACUGUUGGAGGAUAAUAAUAAGCAUAAUAACAUUAAAACAAUAUAUAUAAUUUUUUUUCUACAGACUUUUCAACAACAGAAUCAUGAACAGGACCCCUUUCCUGACAGACAAGAGGUUUGAGAUCUGAUUAAACAUCAGGUCUUGGUCCAGGAAGAGGAAGAGAUGGCUGUUUAGAUCUUAGUCCAAAUCAAAAUAAAAUUCUAUUGGUGUAACGGCUGUCUGAAGAGAGAGUAGACCAAGGUGCAGCGGAGUUAGUGUUCAUCAUGAUUUUAAUUGAACAACGUGAACACUAUACAAAAACAAGAAAAAACCGACAGCCAAACAGUCCUGUCAGGGGCAAAACACUCAACAGAAACAAUUACCCACAAAACCCAAAGGAAAAACAUGCUCCUUAUGUGUGACUCCCAAUCAGCAACAACGAACUUCAGCUGUGCCUGAUUGGGAGCCACACACGGCCCAAAACAAAGAAAUACAAAAACAUAGAAAAGGAACAUAGAAUGCCCACCCAAUGUAACACCCUGGCCUAACCAAAAUAAAGGACAAAAACCCGUCUCUAUGGCCAGGGCGUUACAGUACCCCCCCCCCCCCCCCCCCCCCCAAGGUGCGGACUCCGACUGCAAAACCUGACUCUGAAGGGGAGGGUCCGGGUGGGCCUUCUUACGGCGGCGGCUCAGGUGCGGGACGUGGCCUCUGCUCCACCCUCGACGUCGCCCUCUUAGGUGGCGCACCUGGCCGCGCCGAAGGUCUGGUGGGCGACCCUGACUGCGCCCGGCUGACGGGCGGCGAUGGUUGUGCCCGGCUGGCGGGCGUCCCUGGAAGCUCCGGCGGCACUGACCCAGGAUUCACCAGGCUGAGGAGACAUGUAAGAGACCUUGCCCUAGGCGCAGGCACAGGACUCACCGGGCUGGCGGGCGGCUCUGGAUAGGCCGGCGGCUCUGGCGGCUCCGGACAGGCGGGCGGCUCUGGCGGCUCCGGACAGGCGGGCGGCUCUGGCGGCUCCUGACUGGCAGGCGGCUCUGGCGGCUUCUGACUGGCGGGCGGCUCUGGCGGCUCCUGACUGGCGGGCGGCUCUGGCGGCUCCUGACUGGCGGGCGGCUCCGGACAUGCGGGCGGCUCUGGCGGCUCUGGACUGGCGAGACCCACUGGAGGCCUAGUCCAAGGAGGCGGCACAGGAGAGACCAGGAUGGGGAGACCCACUGGAGGCCUGGUCCGUGGAGCAGGCACAGGACUGACCAGGAUGGGGAGACCCACUGGAGGCCUGGUCCGUGGAAGUGGCACAGGAGAGACCAGGAUGGGGAGACCCACUGGAAGCCUGGUCCAUGGAGGAGGCACAGGCUUAUCCAGGAUGGGGAGACCCACUGGAGGCCUGGUCCGUGGAAGCGGCACAGGAGAGACCAGGAUGGGGAGACCCACUGGAGGCCUGGUCCGUGGAGGCAGCACAAGAUUCACCAUGCUGGGGAGACAUGCAGGAGGCCUGGUUCUGGGCGCAGGCACAGGAUAGACCGGGUCCUGAAGACGCACUGGAGGUCUAGAGCGCACGGCCUGCACAACCCGUCCUGGCUCAAUGCCCAACCUCCCCCGGCAGAUGUUAGGAGCUGGGAUGUAACGCACCGGGCUCUCCACGCGUACUGGGGACACCGUGCGCUUUACUGCAUAACACGGUGCCUGACCAGUACUACGUUGCCUCCUGUAAGCACGGGGAGCUGGCUCAGGUCUCCAACCUGACUCUGCCACACUCCCCGUGUGCCCCCCCCAAAUUUUUUGGGGGGGCUGCUUCUCGGGCUCUACCUGCCUCCCAGGGACGUUGUCACAGUGGUCCCGCAAUUGCUCCCAUGUCCAGUCAAUCCUUGACUCCAACACCUCCAGCGACCAGGAUGCCAUGUCCUCCCGAGCGCGCUGCUUCCAAUAGUCCUCCUUGACUUCCAUCUGCCCUCUUCUCCGCUGCUUGGUCUUUUUGUGGUGGGUAAUUCUGUAACGGCUGUCUGAAGAGAGAGUAGACCAAGGUGCAGCAGAGUUAGUGUUCAUCAUGAUUUUAAUUGAACAACGUGAACACUAUACAAAAACAAGAAAAAACUGACAGCCAAACAGUUCUGUCAGGUGCAAAACACUCAACAGAAACAAUUACCCACAAAACCCAAAGGAAAAACAUGCUCCUUAUGUGUGACUCCCAAUCAGCAACAACGAACUUCAGCUGUGCCUGAUUGGGAGCCACACACGGCCCAAAACAAAGAAAUACAAAAACAUAGAAAAAGGAACAUAGAACACCCACCCAAUGUAACACCCUGGCCUAACCAAAAUAAAGAACAAAAACCCCUCUCUAUGGCCAGGGCGUUACAAUUGAUCACAUACACAUGGUUAGCAGAUGUUAAUGCGAGUGUAGCGAAAUGCUUAUGCUCCUAGAUCUGACAGUGCAGCACUAUCUAACAGGUAAUAUCUAACAAUUCCACCACAAAACCUAAUACACAAAAUCUAGUAAAGGAAUGGGAUGAGAAUAUAUAAAUAUAUAAUAUAUGGAUGAGCAGUGACAGAGCGGCUAAGAUGCAAAAGAUAGUAAAGAAUAGAUAGUGAAGGAUACAGUAUACAGUAUAUACAUAUAAGAUGAGUAAUGCGAGAUAUGUAAACAUUCUUAAAGUGGCAUUAUUAAAGUGGCUAGUGUUCCAUUUAUUAAAGUGGCCAAUGAUAUCAAGUCUGUAGGUAGGCAGCCACCUCUCUGUGCUAGUGGUGGCUGUUUAACAAUCUGAUGGCCUUGAGAUAGAAGCUGUUUUCAAUCUCUCUGUCCCAUCUUUGAUGCAUCUGUAUUGACCUCGCAUUCUGGAUGGAAGCGGGGUGAACAGGCAGGGUGGUUAUUGUCCUUGAUGAUCUUUUGUGUCUUCCUACUCAUAUUUAGAUUUGUAUUAUUCUCAGUUAAAGUAAAAUUCUAGGAGGGAUCCUUAAGGUUACCUCAUUGAUAGAAGUGUGUUAAAGUAGCCGGUAGAGUUUUUAGACGCCAGCUGAGGGACUGAUCAUCCUGAGGGGGGAGAUAAAAAACAGUAUGUAAAGUUGUAGAAGGUAAAAACCUGUUUUUCUAUGUAUUAAUUACUGUGCUUCUCAUAAAGUUGUAAAAUACAACACAUAUUGUAUUGGCAAUAAGGGUAUAGUUAAGGGCGUUGAAGGUGUCUAUCAAUUUAAUUUACUGUUGAUGUUGCUUAUCAUUGAUUGGUGAUAUUGAUUUGUGAUUGACUGAUUGAUCUGGAAUAUUUUAUCCAUGUUUCUGGAAUGUUGAAUAAAGUUGCUUUAUUGUUCUGAAAAGAGUCAUACAAGUUCAUGU